GACGAACGCUGGCGGCGUGCUUAACACAUGCAAGUCGAACGGAAAGGCCCUGCUUUUGUGGGGUGCUCGAGUGGCGAACGGGUGAGUAACACGUGAGUAACCUGCCCUUGACUUUGGGAUAACUUCAGGAAACUGGGGCAAAUACCGGAUAGGAGCUCCUGCUGCAUGGUGGGGGUUGGAAAGUUUCGGCGGGUGGGGAUGGACUCGCGGCUUAUCAGCUUGUUGGUGGGGUAGUGGCUUACCAAGGCUUUGACGGGUAGCCGGCCUGAGAGGGUGACCGGCCACAUUGGGACUGAGAGACGGCCCAGACUCCUACGGGAGGCAGCAGGGGGGAAUAUUGCACAAUGGGCGGAAGCCUGAUGCAGCAACGUCGCGUGCGGGAUGACGGCCUUCGGGUUGUAAACCGCUUUCGCCUGUUACGAAGCGUGAGUGACGGUAAUGGGUAAAGAAGCACCGGCUAACUACGUG
rnacentral:rRNA from 1 species